AUUGAACGCUGGCGGCAGGCCUAACACAUGCAAGUCGAACGGUAACAGGAAGCAGCUUGCUGCUUUGCUGACGAGUGGCGGACGGGUGAGUAAUGUCUGGGAAACUGCCUGAUGGAGGGGGAUAACUACUGGAAACGGUAGCUAAUACCGCAUAACGUCGCAAGACCAAAGAGGGGGACCUUCGGGCCUCUUGCCAUCGGAUUUGCCCAGAUGGGAUUAGCUAGUAGGUGGGGUAACGGCUCACCUAGGCGACGAUCCCUAGCUGGUCUGAGAGGAUGACCAGCCACACUGGAACUGAGACACGGUCCAGACUCCUACGGGAGGCAGCAGUGGGGAAUAUUGCACAAUGGGCGCAAGCCUGAUGCAGCCAUGCCGCGUGUAUGAAGAAGGCCUUCGGGUUGUAAAGUACUUUCAGCGGGGAGGAAGGGAGUAAAGUUAAUACAUUUGCUCAUUGACGUUACCCGCAGAAGAAGCACCGGCUAACUACGUG
rnacentral:rRNA from 1 species